rnacentral:lncRNA from 13 species
AGGCUGGAGCUGCUGCAGCCACUCCUGAAGCAAGAGCUCUGCGUGGAUUUCACCUCCAUCUUUGUGAGGAAGCCCUCCCUGAUUCACCUCUGAGUCUGCAUCCCCGCCUUCAGCUCUCUCCAGUGCUCACAAGCCCUAUGGCUGGACCUCUAGUUCUGCCUCCACCACUAACCCCAAAGACCUGGAUGGCUCCAGAGUUCUCCCCUUGUGUCAAAAUGCCAGCUUCGAUUUCUGCCAAGCAUGGCACAGAUUGGGAGAAGACUGACAACCACCAAAUGCUGUCAGGAUGCAGUGGAGGCCGCAGUGAGGGCACGAGGAUGCUGAAAAGCAGGAGCAGACGUGGGCCCAGGAACAAGGGACAUGCUCGACACGGCCUGUCUCCCCAGCCUGGCUGAGGACAGGCCACCAGGCAGCCAUCAGGAGGGCCCUCAGAGGGGCAAGUGCCCAGGAGAGGAGGUGCU